ACGAAGGAUCCAAGCGUUGUCCGGAUUUACUGGGUUUAAAGGGAGCGUAGGCGGAUACAUAAGUCAGUGGUGAAAGCCUUCAGCUUAACUGAAGAACUGCCAUUGAAACUGUGUGUCUCGAGUACGGCUGAGGUGACUGGAAUGUAACAUGUAGCGGUGAAAUGCUUAGAUAUGUUACAGAACACCAAUUGCGAAGGCAGGUCACUAAACCGUAACUGACGCUGAGGCUCGAAAGCGUGGGGAGCAAACAGGAUUAGAUACCCUGGUAGUCCACGCCCUAAACGUUGAAUACUCGGUCUUGGCGAUACACAGUCAGGGCCCAAGCGAAAGCGUUAAGUAUUCCACCUGGGAAGUACGUUCGCAAGAAUG
rnacentral:rRNA from 1 species